rnacentral:rRNA from 1 species
GGCCGGGAACUCAAAGGAGACUGCCAGUGAUAAACUGGAGGAAGGUGGGGAUGACGUCAAGUCAUCAUGGCCCUUACGACCAGGGCUACACACGUGCUACAAUGGCAUAUACAAAGAGAAGCGACCUCGCGAGAGCAAGCGGACCUCAUAAAGUAUGUCGUAGUCCGGAUUGGAGUCUGCAACUCGACUCCAUGAAGUCGGAAUCGCUAGUAAUCGUAGAUCAGAAUGCUACGGUGAAUACGUUCCCGGGCCUUGUACACACCGCCCGUCACACCAUGGGAGUGGGUUGCAAAAGAAGUAGGUAGCUUAACCUUCGGGAGGGCGCUUACCACUUUGUGAUUCAUGACUGGGGUGAAGUCGUAACAAGGUAACCGUAGGGGAACCU